AUUGAACGCUGGCGGCAGGCCUAACACAUGCAAGUCGAACGGUAACAGAAGGAAGCUUGCUUCCUUGCUGACGAGUGGCGGACGGGUGAGUAAUGUCUGGGGAUCUGCCUGAUGGAGGGGGAUAACCACUGGAAACGGUGGCUAAUACCGCAUAACGUCGCAAGACCAAAGUGGGGGACCUUCGGGCCUCAUGCCAUCAGAUGAACCCAGACGGGAUUAGCCAGUUGGUGAGGUAACGGCUCACCAAAGCGACGAUCCCUAGCUGGUCUGAGAGGAUGACCAGCCACACUGGAACUGAGACACGGUCCAGACUCCUGCGGGAGGCAGCAGUGGGGAAUAUUGCACAAUGGGCGCAAGCCUGAUGCAGCCAUGCCGCGUGUAUGAAGAAGGCCUUAGGGUUGUAAAGUACUUUCAGCGGGGAGGAAGGUGUUGAGGUUAAUAACCUCAGCAAUUGACGUUACCCGCAGAAGAAGCACCGGCUAACUCCGUGCCAGCCGCCGCGGUAA
rnacentral:rRNA from 1 species